GAGUCAUAGUACCACUAAUCAGGAGGUCUAGGAGGAGUCAUAGUUCCACUAAUCAGGUCUAGAAGGAGUCAUAGUACCACUAAUCAGGAGGUCUAGGAGGAGUCAUAGUUCCACUAAUCAGGUCUAGAAGGAGUCAUAGCACCACUAAUCAGGAGGUCCAGAAGGAAUCAUAGUUCCACUAAUCAGGUCUAGAAGGAGUCAUAGUUCCACUAAUCAGGAGGUCUAGGAGGAGUCAUAGUUCCACUAAUCAGGAGGUCUAGGAGGAGUCAUAGUUCCACUAAUCAGGAGGUCUAGAAGGAGUCAUAGUUCCACUAAUCAGGAGGUCUCGAAGGAGUCAUAGUUCCACUAAUCAGGAGGUCUCGAAGGAGUCAUAGUUCCACUAAUCAGAGCUCCUAAAAUGACUCCACAGACAGUGAACUACUUUCUCCAUCCAGCUGUAAAAAUAGACAUCAGCUGCUUCAGACUUGGUUCGGGGGUUCUCCAUGGAAACCAGAGUUAGUGUGAAGCUCAGACAGUGUGAAGGAACCUUCAGAACAUCAACCUCUAUGGACGGAGGACCAGAACUAAACCUGGUUGCUGCUCAGAACUAAACUUCCAGAUGAAAGUUUGCUGAAGAACAUGAGAAGAAGCCUGAUGGAUGUUGGAGAACAUUCUUUGGUCAGAUGAAGAUCAAUGAGUUGGGCUCAGAUGGAGUCCAGAUGUUUGGUGAGAACCUGACCAGGACUACCACAGUGGAUGGAUGGUCCUGACAGUGAAGCAUGGAGGUGGAGGUGU